UACGUAGGAUGCAAGCGUUGUCCGGAUUUACUGGGCGUAAAGCGCGCGCAGGCGGCACUCUAAGUACGUCGUGAAAUCUCCUUGCUCGACGGGGAGGGUGCGAAGUAGACUAGGGAGCUAGAGGGUCGGUAGAGGGGGGUGGAAUUGCUGGUGUAGCGGUGAAAUGCGUAGAGAUCAGCAGGAACACCCGUGGCGAAGGCGGCCCCCUGGGCCGUACCUGACGCUGAGGCGCGAAGGCUAGGGGAGCGAACGGG
rnacentral:rRNA from 1 species